rnacentral:rRNA from 1 species
UACGGGGGGGGUAAGCGUUGUUCGGAAUUACUGGGCGUAAAGGGCUCGUAGGCGGCCAACUAAGUCAUACGUGAAAUCCCUCAGCUUAACUGGGGAACUGCGUGUGAUACUGGAUGGCUUGGAUUUGGGAGAGGGAUGCGGAAUUCCAGGUGUAGCGGUGAAAUGCGUAGAGAUGUGGAGGAACACCAGUGGCGAAGGCGACUCUUUGGCCUGUAACUGACACUGAGGCGCGAAAGCGUGGGGAGCAAACAGG